UACGUAGGGUGCAAGCGUUGUCCGGAAUUAUUGGGCGUAAAGAGCGUGUAGGCGGCCCGACUAGUCCGCUGUGAAAGUCCAGGGCUCAACCCUGGAAUGCCGGUGGAUACUGUCGGGCUAGAGUCCGGAAUGGGCGAGUGGAAUUCCGUGGUGUAGCGGUGAAAUGCGCAGAUAUCAGGAGGAACACCAAUGGCGAAGGCAGCUCGCUGGGACGUGACUGACGCUGAGACGCGAAAGCGUGGGGAGCAAACAGG
rnacentral:rRNA from 1 species